GAAGUGGGUAGUCCGCACGAGCGCACCUCACUUUUAGUUGCUACCAUUUAGUUGGGCACUCUGAAAGAACUGCCAGUGAUAAGCUGGAGGAAGGUGGGGAUGACGUCAAGUCCUCAUGGCCCUUACGUGUUGGGCUACACACGUGCUACAAUGGCAUCUACAACAGGAAGCAAGAAUGCGAAUUUAAGCAAAUCCCUAAAAGAUGCCUCAGUUCGGAUUGUACUCUGCAACUCGAGUACAUGAAGCUGGAAUUACUAGUAAUCGUGGAUCAGCGUGCCACGGUGAAUACGUUCCCGGGUCUUGUACACACCGCCCGUCACACCAUGGGAGUUGGUUCUACCUUAAGGCAAAGCUUAAAACCUUUGACCACGGUAUAGUCAGCGACUGGGGUGAGGUCGUAACAAGGUAGCCGUAGGGGAACCUGCGGCUGGAUUACCUCCUUUCU
rnacentral:rRNA from 1 species